GUGUCCCUGUGCUGCUGCUCCCGUGCUGGAGCUGAGGAGCGGUGCGGAGGAGCUGCACACCGCACUCCAACCUGUCCCCGCAGAACCAUAUUCGCCCUGCAGCUGACAGGACGUGCCGGGCGUGGGUAAAGAAAUGCGGUUUUCAGGGAGUUUUCUGCCCUCUUGGCUGAGGAAGACACGGACUAUAAAGGUGGCAGUGCCUUCUUGUCCCUCUCUCAAGACCUUAUAUUAAGGAAGCAGCAAAACACGUUCUUGUUUGUUACUUGCUGCAGGUGGAAAAGGGACAGAAAACGGAUGGAAAUGGCAAUAAAAGUGCUCAUCCAGUUUCUGACAAAAGCAUCUUGAAGUUCCAUUCAACUCUGUAUUGUAAUUAUUUUCAUUUUUUGUGUUUUGUGCCUGUCUAGCUGCUCAGUGCUAUGAGGUCCUUGAGCAGUUUUCUUCAUGGUCCUUUCUCAUUGCGUCUUUGUGCAUUGUCAGCAGCCUUUGUUCCCCACCAUCCCUUUCCAGGUACCUUAAGAAAAGCUGAAUGACAUAAGUCCUUUUAACUCCUGGAACUCCACAGCUGCAGGAAUCUUGCACUGUGAAGCACAAGAGCUGAAACUGCGAAGUGUCCUGUUACAUGAAUGUUCCAUGGGCAAAAUGGAAAACAGUUGUCUGUUACUUAAGCUGUCAACAUUGCUUCUACUUGUUACCAGCUAAGAGCAGGAGGGUGAAUGCUCUCACUUUUCUGAAGAACCUGUUUACAGAACAACUUGAAAGGCUCAGGUGAACAGGACAGAUUCCAACUGUGCUGAAGGUGGCAGCGCAUUCAGGCCUGCCUGGGAUGGCUGCGGGCCAGCAGUGCCUGCUGUGGGUGGGAGUUGCACAAGUGGGUGCACAGAUCCUCUGUGCUCUGGAGGGGUCUUUGACCCAUGUGUCAGCAGCUGCUGCUGCUCUCUUAGACCCCGGGCCAAACACCUUCAGGGGUUUCACCUCCUGUGCCAUCAGAGCAGGCCCCUGGCUUGUGUUGAGGAGCUGUGUGAAGGCUAAACUGGAGCCUUCCUAUGCACCCCCAGCCCUGGCACUGCCUUUAAGCCUUGGCCCGUGCAUGGGCUGCAUUGCCUGGCCCUGUACCUCACUGAUCCUGACGUGGCUUCCCUG